UACGGGGGAUGCAAGCGUUAUCCGAAAUCAUUGGGCGUAAAGCGCCUGUAGGUUGUUUAUUAAGUCCGUUGUUAAAGCCUGGGGCUUAACCCCAGAAAAGCAAUGGAAACUAAUAGACUAGAGUAUGGUAGGGGUAGAGGGAAUUUCUAGUGUAGCGGUGAAAUGCGUAGAUAUUAGAAAGAACACCAGUGGCGAAAGCGCUCUACUGGACCAUUACUGACACUCAGAGGCGAAAGCUAGGGUAGCAAAAGGGAUUAGAUACCCCUGUAGUCCUAGCCGUAAACGAUGGAUACUAGAUGUUGUGCUUAUAGUACAGUAUCGUAGCUAACGCGUUAAGUAUCCCGCCUGGGGAGUACGCUCGCAAGGGUG
rnacentral:rRNA from 1 species